GACGAACGCUGGAGGCGUGCUUAACACAUGCAAGUCGAACGAUGAAGUGGAGCUUGCUCCACGGAUUAGUGGCGAACGGGUGAGUAACACGUGAAUAACCUGCCCUCAAUUUCGGAAUAACCCAGGGAAACCUGGGCUAAUACCGGAUACGUAAACCUGUGGCAUCACAUGGUUUUGGAAAGUUUUUCGAUUGAGGAUGGAUUCGCGGCCUAUCAGCUUGUUGGUGAGGUAAUGGCUCACCAAGGCGACGACGGGUAGCCGGCCUGAGAGGGUGAACGGCCACACUGGGACUGAGACACGGCCCAGACUCCUACGGGAGGCAGCAGUGGGGAAUAUUGGACAAUGGGCGAAAGCCUGAUCCAGCAAUGCCGCGUGAGUGAUGAAGGCCUAGGGUUGUAAAGCUCUUUUACCAGGGAUGAUAAUGACAGUACCUGGAGAAUAAGCUCCGGCUAACUCCGU
rnacentral:rRNA from 1 species